CACCAGGAAGGCAGGGAGGAACGACGACCUGUGUGGGUCAACACGGUUGCCAAGGGUGUGGGAUUUAUAGGGGGUGACCACGGUAUUAUUGGUUUUCACAACUGGAGAGAAUGGCUACCGUACCGCCGCUGCGUGCUGGAGCAAGCUUUGCGCGUUCUUCGAGCAUCAUCGUCUUGCUGCUGCUGGUGGCGUUGGCCUUGGCGCCGAUCGCCCAUCAAAGCGAUGACCAUACGACAAACAUGGUAGAUCGAAGGCUUGAUUAUCGUCCUCCUAAGCAGUUUACGCCCGGUAGCGGUGGUCAUCGUUCCCGUCAUAAUCCUCCUUGUACAUCAUGUCAAUAUCCUGGUGCUUGUCCAUGGUGCCAUGUUUGAUGAAUGCUUCAGUGGCUGAAUCUGGAGCCGGCCAGAGUCAAUGCAGAAUCAGACACAUGUUCUACAAAAUAUAGCAAUAACUAUGCUUUUCCAUGAGAGAGCAAUGGUUGGUUCCAUAUUGGUGUUUAAGCUUUAGCUGUGACAAAAAUAUAUAGCUUUCCAACACAAUGUGAAUAAUUAUUUGAUAAAAUAAAAUUCACCGUUGUGAAACU